GGGGUCGGAAAGGAGGAGCGCCGCAGGAGAGAAGGGGAGGAGCCAGAGGCCGGAAGGCGGGGUCGUGAAGGAGAAGUGCAGCAGGAGAGAACGGGAGGAGCUAGAGGCGGAGGGGCGGUGUCGAGAAGGUGGAGCGCGGCAGGAAAGACGGGAAGGAGCCAGAGAUAUAAAAAAUCAGAGUCAGAGAAAUCAUCAGUUUGAAGUCAGAGGCGGGAAACUGUCAGAUGCCUACUUGGUUUUCUUAAAUUAACAACUUGCCUCUCAGCUUCCUGGCAGCCAAAGAGAAAUGGGAGACAGUAGCUAUCAAAUAAUUCUCCUUAUAAGAGAAGCAGAACUUUUGUUAAUCACUAAAUUAGUUAAUAAACUAAAUUUUGUCUAUCAA